UACGUAGGGUGCGAGCGUUAAUCGGAAUUACUGGGCGUAAAGCGCGCGUAGGCGGUUUUCCAAGUUGGAGGUGAAAUCCCGGAGCUUAACUCCGGAACUGCCUUCAAAACUGGAUGACUAGAGUUCGAGAGAGGUAAGGGGAAUUCCUAGUGUAGAGGUGAAAUUCGUAGAUAUUAGGAAGAACACCAGUGGCGAAGGCGCCUUACUGGCUCGAUACUGACGCUGAGGUGCGAAAGUGUGGGGAGCAAACAGG
rnacentral:rRNA from 1 species